GACGAACGCUGGCGGCGUGCCUAACACAUGCAAGUCGAGCGGAGAUUGCAGCAAUGUAAUCUUAGCGGCGGACGGGUGAGUAACGCGUGGGCAACCUACCUGUAACUGGGGGAUAACACAGGGAAACUUGUGCUAAUACCGCAUAACAUCACGAGAUGACAUCAUUUUGUGAUCAAAGGAGCAAUCCGGUGAUAGAUGGGCCCGCGUCCGAUUAGCUAGUUGGUGAGGUAAUGGCCCACCAAGGCGACGAUCGGUAGCCGAACUGAGAGGUUGAUCGGCCACAUUGGGACUGAGACACGGCCCAGACACCUACGGGAGGCUG
rnacentral:rRNA from 1 species